rnacentral:tRNA from 1 species
GGGACCGUUGCGUAGUGGUUACGCGUUCACUUCAUACGUGAAUGGUCAUGGGUUCGAUCCCAGCCCCG